rnacentral:piRNA from 1 species
UAACAAUUUCUAAGGAUACUC